rnacentral:rRNA from 1 species
UAAGCAAUUAUACAGCGAAACUGCGAAUGGCUCAUUAUAUAAGUUAUCGUUUAUUUGAUAGUACCUUACUACUUGGAUAACCGUGGUAAUUCUAGAGCUAAUACAUGCUGAAAAUCCCGACUUCGGAAGGGAUGUAUUUAUUAGAUUCAAAACCAAUGCCCCCUGGGCUCACUGGUGAUUCAUGAUAACUCCUCGAAUCGCACGGCCUUGCGCCGGCGAUGGUUCAUUCAAAUUUCUUCCCUAUCAACUUUCGAUGUUUGGGUAGUGGCCAAACAUGGUUGCAACGGGUAACGGAGGGUUAGGGCUCGACCCCGGAGAAGGAGCCUGAGAAACGGCUACUACAUCCAAGGAAGGCAGCAGGCGCGCAAAUUACCCAAUCCCGACACGGGGAGGUAGUGACAAUAAAUACUGAUACAGGGCUCUUUUGGGUCUUGUAAUUGGAAUGAGUACAAUUUAAAUCCCUUAACGAGGAACAAUUGGAGGGCAAGUCUGGUGCCAGCAGCCGCGGUAAUUCCAGCUCCAAUAGCGUAUAUUAAAGUUGUUGUGGUUAAAAAGCUCGUAGUUGAACCUUGGGCCUGGCUGGCCGGUCCGCCUCACCGCGUGUACUGGUCCGGCCGGGCCUUUCCCUCUGUGGAACCCCAUGCCCUUCACUGGGCGUGGCGGGGAAACAGGACUUUUACUUUGAAAAAAUUAGAGUGCUCCAGGCAGGCCUAUGCUCGAAUACAUUAGCAUGGAAUAAUGAAAUAGGACGCGCGGUUCUAUUUUGUUGGUUUCUAGGACCGCCGUAAUGAUUAAUAGGGACAGUCGGGGGCAUCAGUAUUCAAUAGUCAGAGGUGAAAUUCUUGGAUCUAUUGAAGACUAACUACUGCGAAAGCAUUUGUCAAGGAUGUUUUCAUUAAUCACGAACGAAAGUUAGGGGAUCGAAGACGAUCAGAUACCGUCGUAGUCUUAACCA